rnacentral:rRNA from 1 species
AUUGAACGCUGGCGGCAGGCCUAACACAUGCAAGUCGAACGGCAGCGGGGAGUAGCUUGCUACUCUGCCGGCGAGUGGCGGACGGGUGAGUAAUGCCUGGGGAGCUGCCCAAUCGAGGGGGAUACCAGUUGGAAACGACUGCUAAUACCGCAUACGCCCUGAGGGGGAAAGGUGGGGAGCUUCGGACCUAUCGCGAUUGGCUGCACCCGGGUGGGAUUAGCUAGUUGGUGAGGUAACGGCUCACCAAGGCGACGAUCUCUAGCUGGUCUGAGAGGAUGACCAGCAACACUGGAACUGAGACACGGUCCAGACUCCUACGGGAGGCAGCAGUGGGGAAUAUUGCACAAUGGGGGAAACCCUGAUGCAGCCAUGCCGCGUGUGUGAAGAAGGCCUUCGGGUUGUAAAGCACUUUCAGCGAGGAGGAAAGGGUGGCAGCUAAUACCUGUCAUCUGUGACGUUACUCGCAGAAGAAGCACCGGCUAACUCCGUGCCAGCCGCCGCCGUAA